AGCGAACGCUGGCGGCAGGCCUAACACAUGCAAGUCGAACGAACCUUUCGGGGUUAGUGGCGGACGGGUGAGUAACACGUGGGAACGUGCCUUUAGGUUCGGAAUAACUCAGGGAAACUUGUGCUAAUACCGAAUGUGCCCUUCGGGGGAAAGAUUAAUCGCCUUUAGAGCGGCCCGCGUCUGAUUAGCUAGUUGGUUGAGGUAAUGGCUCACCAAGGCGACGAUCAGUAGCUGGUCUGAGAGGAUGAUCAGCCACAUUGGGACUGAGACACGGCCCAAACUCCUACGGGAGGCAGGAGUGGGGAAUCGUGCGCAAUGGGGGAAAGGAUGACGGAGCCAUGCCGCGUGAAUGAUGAAGGUCGUAGGAUUGUAAAAUUCUUUCACCGGGGACGAUAAUGACGGUACCCGGAGAAGAAGCCCCGGCUAACUUCGUG
rnacentral:rRNA from 1 species